UGGCUGAUUAGCUAGUUGGUGGGGUAAAGGCCUACCAAGGCGACGAUCAGUAGCUGGUCUGAGAGGACGACCAGCCACACUGGGACUGAGACACGGCCCAGACUCCUACGGGAGGCAGCAGUGGGGAAUUUUGGACAAUGGGCGAAAGCCUGAUCCAGCAAUGCCGCGUGUGUGAAGAAGGCCUUCGGGUUGUAAAGCACUUUUGUCCGGAAAGAAAUCCUUGGUUCUAAUAUAGCCGGGGGAUGACGGUACCGGAAGAAUAAGCACCGGCUAACUACGUGCCAGCAGCCGCGGUAAUACGUAGGGUGCAAGCGUUAAUCGGAAUUACUGGGCGUAAAGCGUGCGCAGCGGUUUGCUAAGACCGAUGUGAAAUCCCCGGGCUCAACCUGGGAACUGCAUUGGUGACUGGC
rnacentral:rRNA from 1 species